rnacentral:tRNA from 1 species
GGCCCGUUCGUCUAGGGGCUAGGACGUCACCCUCUCACGGUGAAAACAGGGGUUCAAUUCCCCUACGGGCUACCA